UACGUAGGGGGCAAGCGUUGUCCGGAAUCAUUGGGCGUAAAGCGCGUGUAGGCGGCCCGAUAAGUCCGCUGUGAAAGUCCAGGGCUCAACCCUGGGAUGCCGGUGGAUACUGUCGGGCUCGAGUCCGGAAGAGGCGAGUGGAAUUCCUGGUGUAGCGGUGAAAUGCGCAGAUAUCAGGAGGAACACCAAUGGCGAAGGCAGCUCUCUGGGACGGUACUGACGCUGAGACGCGAAAGCGUGGGGAGCGAACAGG
rnacentral:rRNA from 1 species